GGCUCCCGGUAAGAUCCAGUUCCUGGGCUUGGUGAACCCUUGUAGUGACACAGGGUGAAGGUGUGUGGGCUUCAUCUGAUGGGUAGUGCUGUGACAGGCACCAGGAACAUGCCUCCUCAACCCAAACUCCAUCGUUCUGGAACAUGGAUAGGUAUCUACUCCAUGGCCAGGUCGUGCCAGGCAGGGGCAUCUGGAGUGUAUUGCUGGAAACCUGCUUUUGGGCAUUUCUGUUCCCAGAGUUAAAUAAAAAGAAAUCAGCAUGAAAUUCCCUCCAUGAGGAGCCAGCACAGACCUGGAGUUCAUACACUGUUCUUGUAGGUUAAAAAAAUGCAGUAAACUGCUCAUCCAAGGCCAGGAAACCACUGGAUGAUUGUUUUUUUUUCUGUAAUACGCAAAUAUAGUUAAGGGAGAAUUAAUCCCUUGGGCACGAAGGGGUAAUUUUUGACCAAAGUUAAUUAUGAAGCACUGAAAUUACCAAAUGGCAGAUGAAAUGCACUUGCAGUUUGAUUUUAUUAGGGCAAUUCUACCUUAACAUGUACAGUACUGAACUAUCCAAAUAGUCCAAGUGAGACCUAUUGUACCAAAAAGCAAUUUAAAUACACUGCUUAGCUAAUGUAACAAGAGUCGUUUCGUAAAAUAAUAAUUCUUAUCGAAUUAGGGUUUCUCUCAGCUGUGUUUCACAAAGCAGCAGAGACAUUUUCAAUAAGUACGAACACAAAUAAUGUUUCUGUCUAAAACCCAGUGCGUUAAUGAAGAUUAAGAAAACAAAAAUUAGAGGGAUGGGGAGGGGGAAAGAAUUGUAUAAAAGAGCAAGUAUUUGGUGGGAAAUGGGUGUCAUUUAUAAGGAGUAGUGUGUGAUCCUGAAGCAUAGUUUAGUUUACAACAAACACAUGGGGAUUUCUGUGAGGUGUCAGCAAGGGAAAAAUGGUCAUUUUAGCCUUUGUCUAACUGGUGUUAUUUUUGUACUGAUAUGCCAGAAAGGAUGUGAUUAUUUUCUCUGUUACACCACUGAAAUCCCAGUAAUUUUGGCAGUCCUACCAGCUUAAACUACAACAGACUUUUGCCUUGGAAUGAGCUUUACUUUCCACUUUGUAAGAAAUAUGUGAUAACUAUUUUAAUGUGACACAGCUAGGGCAGGAUUUAUAACACUAUCUCCACUCAAGUCAAUGCAAACCUGUCAGCGUACCACUGAAAGAAGAGAACAGGUUCUUCAUUUCUAAACUUCAAGCUAAUUUAAGUGGACCCUGAUGAGUUUCUUUUGAAUGACAGAAGUCCUCAUCCCUCGUAGACAACUAAUCUAGGAGACCAUGUGCGAUCUAACAAUUUUCUCAUGACAGCUAAUGCUUCCUGAAGAACUUGCUAUUGGAUGAGACUUUUUCAGAGCAGAAUUCACACUGAUUUCACAGCCACAGCCACUUUGCUUUAGCCUUUCCUCCUGUUGACAUCCCUUCAAAGCUGCUGCCCAUCCAUCUAUUAUAGAAGACAAGCCACAGCCCUCCCAAGUCAAAGGGAGCCUUUCCAUAAGGCUUCUUGUGGAUGGGGUAUUGAGCACUUUGCACAAUGCAUUUGAUAUAAAGCUUGGGGUUAAGGAGGCAGUUUAUUGCAGGGGCUUUCCAUCUGGUCGAAUACUCCCAUUGCAGAGGGAACUUGCUGUUCCCUCUUGUUGUCCCAGCAGAUCUCCUCUUAAUGGCUGUCACCUCUUUCACACCCAGCACUAGAGGAGGGGGUUAGCUCCUGGUGUGUUUUCUUUCCCUAUUUUUAGCAGGUGAAGCCUAGAUAUGGAUCAGAAAAUCAGGAGGCACACACCUGGCAAAUGGCAGAGGCAUUGACAGAGCUUUGCUGACUUAUCCCAGCUGUAUAAAUCAUGGCACUGCCCUGCUCGCUGUGCUGCUAAUAGGAUCUGUCCAUAGACAGGCAGAUCCUUUUCAAGGAGGGCUAAUGGACAGUGAAAGCAGGCUUGGCAGGAAAGUGAGCUUGGCAUAAAGGUGCUUCGAUUGCUGAAGUAAAAAAUGAGAUGGGCUCAAACUAGGAAAAAAAGAAAAAGUAGUCAGACUUUGUGCUUGAGCAACCUGAAGUUGGGUGCAUGGCUCUUUCAGAUGCAGUUGUGUCCCCUGUGCCGCAGUGAUGUGUGGGUGCAGGUCUGUGGGUGCAGGAACAUCCACCAGAGCUACGUGGCCCUUCAGUGAAAACAGAAGAGUGGGAAUAGGGAGCUGUGUAUCUUGCAUUUCUAAAACCUGAAGUGAAGAGCAAAGCAGGCAAAAUAAAAAUCUUUGCCUUACUCAGCACUCAGUACUUGCCUUUAAGGAAGGACUAUCUCCCCACUGAGCCUUUGCACGAAAGCCCGGACGCCCUCUCGCAAACCAAAACAAGCUCCCGCAGCCAUGCAGAGCACAGCAUGGGAAUCACAGCUGGGGUUUCACUGCUGAAGAGCAGCAGUUACCAACCAGCUUCCUUAAAACAGAGUGUUUAAUAUGGACUUCUCAUUAACCUGGUACAAAAUAGGAAAGGACAGUUCAGAUGCUUUCCUGCCCGAGUGAGAAGAUGCUGGGUAUUUUGUUUCCUACUGCUUUCUGCUCAUGCCUGAGGGCUUGGCUGUAUCAAGGCAAUAACAGUUAUUAUUUAGUGUGGGUGAGGUACUUCGAUCUAUGAGUCCAUUGUGAUUAAAAAGAACACUUUUACAAAAACAUUAAUUGUACUUUAGACUGGAGACAGGAAUUGAUAGCUGUUGUAUAACUAUAUUAAAGAGAAGAAAAAUGUAUCUAUAACUAUAAUGGGAUUCUUUCUUUUGAAAGCAGUACUUUCUAUACUUAUUAAGAGAAAUCAUAAAUACUCACUGUGCCUACAGAAUCUUUAUUCUGAAUUUAUGUGUCAUAUGUAAUAGAGUUGUUUUCUCUAGGCCAAACAGGGUGGCUGUGUUGUUUCCUCAUUACUUGAACUGAUUUUAUCUUCUUAAUGUGCGGUGUGCUGCUGCUCUGCUCCUCAUAUAUUAUAUAAAUCCAUACUAUAUUUUGCAGCGUGGAUUUAUCCCAUGGGUUUAUGUGGCACCUCUGGCAGUUUUCAAUAAUAAUAAUUUCCUACCAAAUGGCAUGGUUGAGGUCAUACUAAAGGACUGUCACUCCUUGCUUUGUUUGGACUCAGUUCUACCUCUCACAGACCCAGAGCAUGUCUGAUGAGAACACAUUUCUAAAUAUAAAUCAACAGUCAAACCCGUGUCCCUUAGUCAGCAGGGCAGUAUUUAGAGCAAGAUGGGGGCUUGCUUGGCUUUCUGCAGCGUACCAUGCAAGCCCACCAUCAGAAGUAAUUGCCAUAUCAUCAUUGCACUUUGUAAGGCACAAUGCACAGGAGGCUGUCAUUUUGCCUUUAGGCAAAUCAUAGCAAUUCCCACGGGCAGGAAUUGAAAAUACGUGUGCAGAUUCAGCUCAGAAAAAAGGAUCCUUUUUCUGUACACGUGCCUUACAAAUGCUGCAUGGAAAGUGUCAAACCACAAGUGGUGGAGCUGAUCAUGCUUAGAUCCUGCAAGCAUUCACACUGGAAACCAGGCUUGGUGGCCAGGUAGCCCAUCCUGAGCAAGCUCUCAGGCCUCCAAUUGAAUUAACAGAUGAUAGCAAUAAAGUAAAUAGGGGAAGUUGUGGACCUCUUAUCAUGGGAUGUUCUGCACAUCCGAUGAAUUACAAAAACACUCUCGCUCUUCUCACACACCUUCCUCAAGAACCUGUUUCUGCCUGCUUCUGUGAGAGGCUGCACAGACCUCACAGCUAGCUGCCAACAUUACUAAGCAUCAUCCCUGUCUGUCUAGGUCUCUUCUGGAAUAUUAUUGGGAUUUCUUCCACCACCUAGCAAAGGUUUUUGCUGAAAACUGGAUUGUUCUGUUAGGUACCACCAUGAGCAAUCAAGUCCUGCUCAUCAUCCAUUCCAGCUUGGCAUCUUUGGGGAUCCCUACACAACUCAUAGUUGCUCCCAUGCCCUCUACUUCAUCUAUAAGGAUAAUAAUACAUUAUUAGUGUGUGGCCAUUAUCUGUGUGCUCCUUCUGGGCUCAGGAGUGAGUUGGCGUAGUGGUGUUAGACUGGAGGUAGCUGAUGACCCAUCUUGUCCCUUUUGCAUGCUCAUGCCCCAUGAAGAGAGGAAUUGGAAAUGCAUCAGCUACUUGUGCUAGCAGUACAGGCAGAAGCUUGCAGGUGGUUCCUCUUUCUCUUUUCCAUCUUAGAAAAGUUGAGAGCCCAGGGACUUCACCAUCCUAUUUCCAGAUUCUGAUGAUGCCUCUGAAAUUGGCAGUCCCCAGUUCUUGUUCCCAGCUGAAUUGGGAUUAGUGUGACCAUCUUUAAAAGAAAAAGAAAAAGGAAAAAAAAAAAAAAAAAAAGGACGCUAAAGUACCAUAUUAAAGGUGGCAUUGCUGGUUUGAAAGCCAAAGUGCCAGCCGCCAUUUCUUCCUGCAGCAGAUGUGGCUGCUAUAAAUACAUACCUCAGCACAUGCACAUGGGUUUGCUGGCAGAUAAAAUAAUGUUUCACUUCAGCUGUAUGAGGACAUUGUGUCCUUGGAUAGAAGAAGUCAAACUCAUAAGCAUGUAUUUCACACAGUGUUGUAUGGCUUUGGGUUCAUGCAGGAAAUGAGGAAGCAGAAAUGUGAUUACAACCCGGUAACAGCCAGAAAGUAGGUGAGUGUCUCCAAGAAAGCCUGAAAAACACAUUCAGAAAUGUAGCUCGGUUCUCCAGAGAGGAGAAACAAAUUUCCCAGGGUGUGGGCAGUAGCUGCAGAAGAAGAGUUUUCUUCCAGGGUUAGACUAACACAAAUGGGUGUCAGGCUCAUGGGACCCAGCAGCUAUUUCACCAGCUGAAACUCUCCAUCUCAGCUGCAAUUUUCUUUCUGUUGUGUUGAAUUGACAUUGGAUCAUGAGUUCGCUCUUGUCUUUCACAAUACAAACAGGAAAACACAUUCUCUCUCUCUGGUUUCAUGUCAUUAAGGACGGUUGUGGGAAGACUGGCUGAGGACAUGUUAUAAAGUGACACUGGGGAAUCAAGCAAGAAAGUAAACCAAAAAAA